UCCUUCUUAGCUCAGUUGGUUAGAGCAUCUGACUGUUAAUCAGAGGGUCGCUGGUUCGAGCCCAGCAGAGGGAG
rnacentral:tRNA from 1 species